GACGAACGCUGGCGGCGUGGAUUAGGCAUGCAAGUCGAACGGUAGGAUACCUUCGGGUAUCUGAGAGUGGCGAACGGGUGAGUAACACGUAGGUGAUCUACCCUCAAGAUUGGGACAACCCAGGGAAACUUGGGCUAAUACCGGAUGAAAGCAGCAGUGAUGUUGUUUGAAAGGUGGCGUAAGCUGCCGUUUGGGGAUGAGCCUGCGCUCUAUUAGUUAGUUGGCGGGGUAAAGGCCCACCAAGGCGAUGAUAGAUAGGCGGCCUUAACGGGUGGUCGCCCACACUGGGAUUGAGAUACGGCCCAGACUCCUACGGGAGGCAGCAGUCGAGAAUAGUCUACAAUGGCCGAAAGGCUGAUAGUGCGACGCCGCGUGAACGAAGAAGCCCUUCGGGUGUAAAGUUCUUUUAUAUGUGAGCAGUGCUUUCUAUGUGAACAGCAUGGGGAGAGAGAUAUUAGCAUAUGAAUAAGCAACGGCUAACUCCGUGCCAGCACG
rnacentral:rRNA from 1 species